rnacentral:rRNA from 1 species
AUGUGGGAAUUGUUCAAGCAUUCUGAUCCUCGCAAGCACAAUAUCAUAGGCACAAAAUGGAUCUAUCGCAACAAACAAGAUGAGCAUGGUCAAGUUAACAGAAGCAAAGCUCGUCUCAUUGCUCAAGUCUAUACUCAAGUUGAAGGAAUUGACUUCGAUGAAACAUUCGCUCCGGUGGCUAGGCUUGAAGCCAUUCGCAUUCUGCUAGCCUAUGCCAAUCAUCACAACAUCCUCCUGUAUCAAAUGGAUGUGAAGAGUACUUUUCUCAAUGGCAAGAUUGAAGAAGAAGUGUAUGUUGCACAACCACCUGGCUUUGAAGAUCCAAAACAUCCUGACAUGGUUUACAAGCUCAACAAGGCACUGUGUGGCCUCAAACAAGCCCCUUGUGCUUGA